CAGUAGCCGCGGUAAUACGAGGGGUGCAAGCGUUAUUCGGAUUGAUUGGGUGUAAAGGGUGUGCAGACGGCUUAUUAAGUCACUUGUUAAAUUCUUCGGCCUAACUGAAGGUCUGCAAGUGAUACUGAUGGGCUAGAGGGUGGAAGAGAGAAGUGGAAUUCUCGGAGUAGCGGUAAAAUGCGUAGAUCUCGAGAGGAACACCAAUGGCGAAGGCAGCUUCUUGGUCCAUUCCUGACGUUCAUACACGAAAGCGUGGGGAGCAAACAGGAUUAGAUACCCCCGUAGUCCCUGUCUCUUAUAC
rnacentral:rRNA from 1 species